rnacentral:rRNA from 1 species
CCCGAGCCAGGUCCCCGUACGAAAAGUUCAGAAGUUUCUUCCGCGGCCGACGACCCGCGCGCCGGAGCAGAAGUAUGUCUUCUCCCUUCCGGCUAGAAGGCCGCUUCUUGGGACAUGCAUUACGUCCCUGCCCUUUGUACACACCGCCCGUCGCUACUACCGAUUGAAUGGCUUAGUGAGGCUUUCGGACUGGCUCAGGGAGGUCGGCAACGACCACCCAGAGCCGGAAAGUUUGUCAAACUACGUCAUUUAGAGGAAGUAAAAGUCGUAACAAGGUUUCCGUAGGUGAACCUGCGGAAGGAUCAUUACCGAGUUGAUUCGGGCUCCGGCCCGAUCCUCCCACCCUUUGUGUACCUACCUCUGUUGCUUUGGCGGGCCGCGGUCCUCCGCGGCCGGCCCCCCUCCCCGGGGGGUGGCCAGCGCCCGCCAGAGGACCAUCAAACUCCAGUCAGUAAACGAUGCAGUCUGAAAAACAUUUAAUAAACUAAAACUUUCAACAACGGAUCUCUUGGUUCUGGCAUCGAUGAAGAACGCAGCGAAAUGCGAUAAGUAAUGUGAAUUGCAGAAUUCAGUGAAUCAUCGAAUCUUUGAACGCACAUUGCGCCCUUUGGUAUUCCGAAGGGCAUGCCUGUUCGAGCGUCAUUACAACCCUCAAGCUCUGCUUGGUAUUGGGCACCGUCCUUUGCGGGCGCGCCUCAAAGACCUCGGCGGUGGCGUCUUGCCUCAAGCGUAGUAGAACAUACAUCUCGCUUCGGAGCGCAGGGCGUCGCCGCGCCGGACGAACCUUCUGAACUUUCUCAAGGUGACCUCGGAUCAGGUAGGGAUCCCCUGUUUAAA